rnacentral:rRNA from 1 species
ACGUGGGCAACCUGCCUGUAAGUUGGGGAUAACUCCGGGAAACCGGGGCUAAUACCGAAUGAUAGAAUGUGGCGCAUGCCACGCUUUUGAAAGAUGGUUUCGGCUAUCGCUUACAGAUGGGCCCGCGGUGCAUUAGCUAGUUGGUAGGGUAAUGGCCUACCAAGGCAACGAUGCAUAGCCGACCUGAGAGGGUGAUCGGCCACACUGGGACUGAGACACGGCCCAGACUCCUACGGGAGGCAGCAGUAGGGAAUCUUCCGCAAUGGACGAAAGUCUGACGGAGCAACGCCGCGUGUAUGAAGAAGGUUUUCGGAUCGUAAAGUACUGUUGUUAGAGAAGAACAAGGAUAAGAGUAACUGCUUGUCCCUUGACGGUAUCUAACCAGAAAGCCACGGCUAACUACGUGCCAGCAGCCGCGGUAAUACGUAGGUGGCAAGCGUUGUCCGGAU